rnacentral:rRNA from 1 species
CCAUACUCCUACGGGAGGCAGCAGCAGGGAAUAUUGCACAAUGGACGGAAGUCUGAUGCAGCGACGCCGCGUGAGUGAAGAAGGCCUUCGGGUUGUAAAACUCUUUUGAGGGGGAAGAGCGAGGACGGUACCCCUGGAAUAAGCGUCGGCUAACUACGUGCCAGGCAGCCGCGGUAAGACGUAGGACGCGAGCGUUAUCCGGAUUUACUGGGGCGUAAAGCGUCUGUAGGCGGAUGUGUAAGUUGGGCGUGAAAGCUCCGGGCUUAACCCGGAGAGGCCGUUCAAUACUGCAUAACUUGAGGGUGUCAGAGGGGAGCGGAAUUCCCGGUGUAGCGGUAAAAUGCGCCGAGAUCGGGAGGAACACCAGUGGCGGAGGCGGUUCCCUGGGGCACACCUGACGCUGAGAGACGAAAGCUAGGGGAGCGAACAGGAUUAGAGACCCUGGUAGUCCUAGCCCUAAACGAUGAAUGCUAGGUGUGGGAUCGAAUGGUUCCGUGCCGGAGCGAACGCGAUAAGCAUUCCGCCUGGGGAGUACGGCCGCAAGGUUAAAACUCAAACGAAUUGACGGGGCCCCGCACAAGCAGCGGAGCGUGUGGUUUAAUUCGAUGCUACACGAAGAACCUUACCUGGGUUUGACAUGUAGGUGGUAGUGAAUCGAAAGGUGAACGACCCUUCGGGGAGCCUACACAGGUGCUGCAUGGCUGUCGUCAGCUCGUGCCGUGAGGUGUCGGGUUAAGUCCCGUAACGAGCGCAACCCUUGCUCCUAGUUACAAGUGUCUAGGGGGACUGCCGGCGGAAAGCCGGAGGAAGGUGGGGAUGACGUCAAGUCAGCAUGGCCCUUAUAUCCAGGGCUACACACACGCUACAAUGGUCGGUACAAAGGGCAGCGAAACCGCGAGGCGGAGCGAAUCCGAGAAAAGCCGAUCGUAGUUCGGAUAGCAGGCUGCAACCCGCCUGCUUGAAGCUGGAGUUGCUAGUAACCGCGCGUCAGCCAUAGCGCGGUGAAUACGUUCCCGGGGCUCGUACACACCGCCCGUCACGUCAUGGGAGUCGGUAACGCCUGAAGCCGGUAGUCUAACUGGAAACAGGAGACGCUGUCGAGGG